GAUUAACGCUGGCGGCGUGCCUAACACAUGCAAGUCGAGCGCCCCUUCGGGGGAGCGGCGGACGGGUGAGUAACGCGUGGGAACAUACCUUUUUGGUUCGGAACAACACAGGGAAACUUGUGCUAAUACCGGAUAAGCCCUUACGGGGAAAGAUUUAUCGCCGAAAGAUUGGCCCGCGUCUGAUUAGCUAGUUGGUGAGGUAAUGGCUCACCAAGGCGACGAUCAGUAGCUGGUCUGAGAGGACGAUCAGCCACACGGGAACUGAGAAACGGUCCCGACUCCUACGGGGGCAGCAGUGAGGAAUAUUGGGCAAUGGACGCAAGUCUGACCCAGCAACGCCGCGUGGAGGAUGAAGGUUCUUGGAUCGUAAACUCCUUUUGCAGGGGAAAAGCAAGGAUGGUACCCUGAGAAUAAGUCACGGCUAACUACGUGCCAGCCGCCGCAGU
rnacentral:rRNA from 1 species